AACCACUUUUGUAGUCAGCAAUAGUCAUCAGGUCGUUCUAACUAAACUUGUAUUUCUUAAAGGGGCGUACUCAGUGCACAAAGCUCCCGCUUAAACGGGGUCUGGGAAAGGGUUGAUGUACGCAGCCUUAUCCCUGCAAGUGGAGAGGUUAUUUCUGCGAUUCGAACUCAUGACCACCAGAUCACCAAGGGGAAACUUUACCGCUGCGCCUGGCUCGCCCUUCUAAUAUUGAACGAUAUGUAUUAUGUCAGUUGAUACAUAUUAAUUUUUUUGUUUCUCGAUAUUGAUACAUUCCAGUAUUCCAAUUGAUACAUAUUGAUUUUUUGAUUUUCAAUAGUGAUACAUUCCAAUAUAUAUAUGGUGAUAACAAAUUUAGGAAAAAUCCAAUUUACCCCUUUGUGGUUUGGCCUUGUACAUUUUUGCCCUUGUGUUCGCCGAAUGAAAUUUUUGCCGCUAACGUCUUCUUCUCCAUACCCUACAAAUCCUAACGAAAACAGCCAACCCUAGCCCUAGCCCUAGCCCUGACCUACUCUCCCAUUUCUGACCUCUCCUUUCAUCCCCUCUCUCUCCUUUCCCCAACUCCUUUGUCGUGAUCCCCUCUCCCAUUCUCAUCCUCAUUUCACCUACCAUAUAUAAUUGUAUAUACAUUUUUGUGUAUAUAUUACGUAUAUAAUCACCAAAGCUUGCAUCGGGUUUUCCAAGAUUUACGUGUCAGGAUCAAAAUUUCAAAUGAGAGAGAAGGCGUUUAGCAAAUCCGUUACUGGUGUUGGAGCGCGGUCCUCGAUAGAGGCUUUUGUUUCUAGGGCCUCGGGCGUACAAGAUAGAGGAUAUUAGAGCGGAUUCUAGUGGUCGUCGUCGGUUGUUGGUGGUGAAACGAGAACAAGGUAGGCACAACGAGAUUGCUUUGUAUGGGGCAACGAUUAGAUGGUUGGUCACGCGAUUGCGAUAGGUGAAUGCGGCUAAGGAUCCUGGUUUGUUCUGGGGUCGAGUGUCGGGUUGAAGCCGGAGUGUGGCGGUGUGGCUGAGGUCUGAGCAGAAUGAGUGUGUGGUGCAAGUGGUCAUGUUAUCAGAGGUUCAUUGUCAUCAGAUUUUCGUACCACCGGCAGAUGAUGGAUAGGAAGGCCUUGCGCUGGUACUGGAAGGUUUCGAUCCAGGAUGCAGAUGGAUGGACCAGCAGCAAUCUUGGUGGCUGCUAGGUGGUCGGGUAAACAUUGGUCACCGGCCACAAGGUGACUGGAGCAAGAUCGGGGGCAUGAUGUUCGUGCUAGAAAUCUGGCCCAAGAUCAGAGGAGAGAUUUUCAGAGUUCUUCUCUUGGGCAGUUAGGCAAAGGUGUUGGGUCGAAGAUAAUAGGCCCAGGCAAAACACAUGGGCCUGGAAUGAGGGGUUUGGAUUUGGGCCAUUUUAAUAAUGUUUUUUUUGGAAAUGCGAUUUUGGGCCAGAGAGGCUUUGAUGCUAGGCCAGGUCAGCUUCGACCUACAGGUGUUGGGCAUUUCGGAGUGAGGCUAUUUGGGAUAGGGCGCACAAGUCAUAGAAUGGGCAGACAGGGUCCAUAGGGCCGGGUUGGUUUCAAUCCACAUCAUGGUUUGAUAGGUGAUGGGGGUUUGAAGUGUAAGGAUCUCGGGUACUAAAUCCAUCUGUUCGUCGAGUAUUUGGGUUGCUAUCGGGUGCCUUAGGACAUGAUUGUGGUGCGACAAAGGGGGCUCAAGGGAGGGGAAACGAUCAACGUCGUUCAGUGAUGGGAGAAGCGUCAACAAUUACAGGGGGUCAGACGGAGGAUCCUAGUGGUCGGAAUGCGGAGGCUAGCCAUGAUUGGAAUGAUGGAAGUCUUCCUAGUAUGGCAGUGGAGGAUGAGGGUGCUUGUUGGGAGGAGCAAGUGCAAAAUAAAAGGGGGCCAAAAAUUCGGCAGAGGUAGCGGUGGCAGUGGGGUUAAGGUCUUUGCCCAUGGGUAGCUGUGCUUGGGCUAUGGUUCUGCUACAAGAGGGUCGAGGUCUUUAAUAGAACCUAACCCUUUCUCCGCCGCCACCCUCAUCGGUGUAGCCCCCAUGCUUGCGCAGCCCCUCUUAUCCCUGUUGCUCACUGCCUAACCCCCAUCUCCUCCCCUGUUGCCCUCUCUCCAUCACCCGCACGUCCUUCUUUUCCUUUAUUAGGGGCUACUAAGGGGAGUUACAGUGGUGGACAGCUAGUGGAAUCACAAUUAUGUGGUGAUGACAAUAGCAAUGGCUAGGGUUUUGUAGUGGCAAGGGUUGGUAGCUAGCGAUGGUGGGAUUAGGAGGGAAGCCAUGGAAGCAUCAACUUCUUCUGAGGUUAAGUUUCAAAUUCUGGCCAAUUCCCACAUACCACUUUCUAUUUCAUCUGGAGAUGAAGUCGAAUCAGCCAUCUCAAGGUUUACAAGUCUAGGAAAGCUGCAAUCUGUUAAAGGAAUGACUAUUCAAAAAGCUUUUGGAUUGGACGGAGCCGAACCCAUUCAGAAUGUGGUGAAGGCUGUAGCAACUGAUGAAGAGAUGAGGAAUGUCUUUCUAAACAUUACUGAAGUGCAGGAAUUCAAGCGGCAGCUAAUGACAAGUUCACAAGUGCAUAUAUUUAUUAACGAAAUUUAAAAUAUUAGUAAUGUUAAGAAAUCAUAGUUUCUUAGCACAAUUGGUUUACCAUUUCAUUUGUCAACAUUGUAUUAGUUUAAUGGAUCUCACCACUUGUGUUUAUUACCAAUGCAGUAGUAGCACAUGAGAUGUCAAGCAAAACAUAGUACAAAAAUAUAGUCAUCAUAGUAUUAUUAAAAUGAUUGUUUAUUUUUUAUACUUACCAAUUUUAUAAAGGACAUUCAACCAUUUUAAUUUUAUUAAAUAUUAAUCACAUUAACAAAACCUUGGUUGAUCGAUAGACCUCAACUAUAUAUCUCAUGUUAAGAUGAAUUUUUGCUUCGAUUA